rnacentral:rRNA from 1 species
AACGAACGCUGGCGGCAGGCUUAACACAUGCAAGUCGAACGCUCGUCUUCGGACGGGAGUGGCAGACGGGUGAGUAACGCGUGGGAACGUACCCUUCGGUUCGGAAUAACCCGGGGAAACUCGGGAUUAAUACCGGAUACGUCCGUCUCUGGAGACAGAGGGGGAGAAAGAUUUAUCGCCGAAGGAUCGGCCCGCGUCGGAUUAGCGUAGUUGGUGGGGUAAUGGCCCACCAAGGCGACGAUCCGUAGCUGGUCUGAGAGGAUGAUCAGCCACACUGGGACUGAGACACGGCCCAGACUCCUACGGGAGGCAGCAGUGGGGAAUAUUGGACAAUGGGCGAAAGCCUGAUCCAGCCAUGCC